CAAAGUGCUGGAAUUACAGGCGUGCACCACCACGCCCGGCCAGAUCUUCAUAUAUCUAAGUAAGUGUUAUACAUUUACCUAAACUUUUUUACUGUGUGAUUUUUUUCCAUAGGUACUCAAGUAAGAAAUGAUAGUCUUUACUAACUACAGCAACCAUGUUAUCCUGCUGUUUUAUAUUUUAGAGAAAAUUUAUGUUUAACUUUGUGAUUGGCGAGCUAUUUGCUAUCCAAGGAAUUAACCAUGGAGUUGCAUGUCAUAGUAGCAAUUGUGGGUUUGUUUGCAGGUAAGUAGUAGAGAGAAAAUGGUAUCUGUAACAGUGCUAUAGACCUUGCAGUACUGCAAGAUUCCAGGUAUACUUGAUGGUUCUUGGAAUGAUGGUAGUGAAUAAGCUUAAUUGUGGGGUUCAAGGAAAAAAGCUGUGUCUACACACAUUUGUCAUAAUGUGUUUUUAGGAUCCUGUCAAGAAGACAUGGUAAACCUCAUCAUGAUCAAGAAUGAGACUUUGCUUGCAUCCAGGCUUCCCAAAAGUUGUUUGAUAGUAUACAGGCAUGAGAUGGUGUGACUCUAACUCAUUAGAUGCCUUCGUCUUUUCAGUCAUCAUGUGAUGGAAAGAAAGCUAUCAACUUCAUUCCUGAGACUUCCUGCAACACAGGAGCAGCAGGACAUCUGGGGAUGAGAAGAUGGAGAGAUCAUCCUUAUAUAAUGUUGCAGUCUGGAAGCAUCACUCUCAAAAAGACAGGGUCCCGCUCUGUUGCCCAGGCUGGAGUGCAGUGGUGCGAUCUCCGCUCACUGUAACCUCCACCUCCCAGGCCCAAGUGAUCCUCCUAACUCAGCUUCCUGAGUAGCUGUGACCACAGGCAUGUGCCAUCAUGCCCGGCUAAUUUUUUGUAUUUUUGGUAAAGAUGGGGUUUUGCCACAUUCCCUAGGCUGAUCUCAAACUCCUGAGCUCAGGCAAUCCACCCGCCUCAGCCUCCCGAAGUGCUGGGAUUACAGGCAUGAGCCACCAUGCUCGGCCACUCUCAUUUUUUUUAAACCAAAGAAAUCAAUCUUAAAUCAAUUUUGCACUUGAUUUAUGCACAUCAAUUUUGUUUGCUUCUUAAAGAGUAUAUGAUUAGCUGUACAAGAGACUAUAGGUUAAGAAAAUCCUUAGUCUUGAGAAAAGCACUGAAGAGGAAGAAAAAGACACCAGGCCCCAAGACAUCCACCAAAAA
ensembl:lncRNA LINC01203 long intergenic non-protein coding RNA 1203